AGCGAACGCUGGCGGCAGGCUUAACACAUGCAAGUCGAGCGGGCACUUCGGUGUCAGCGGCAGACGGGUGAGUAACACGUGGAAACGUACCCUUCGGUUCGGAAUAACGCUGGGAAACUAGCGCUAAUACCGGAUACGCCCUUUUGGGGAAAGGUUUACUGCCGAAGGAUCGGCCCGCGUCUGAUUAGCUAGUUGGUGGGGUAAUGGCCUACCAAGGCGACGAUCAGUAGCUGGUCUGAGAGGAUGAUCAGCCACACUGGGACUGAGACACGGCCCAGACUCCUACGGGAGGCAGCAGUGGGGAAUAUUGGACAAUGGGCGCAAGCCUGAUCCAGCCAUGCCGCGUGAGUGAUGAAGGCCUUAGGGUUGUAAAGCUCUUUUGUCCGGGACGAUAAUGACGGUACCGGAAGAAUAAGCCCCGGCUAACUUCGUG
rnacentral:rRNA from 1 species